rnacentral:tRNA from 3 species
GCUCCCGUGGCGAAAUUGGUAAACGCUUCCGUUUGAGGGACGGAAUUGUUGCAGGUACCCUGCGGGAAGCCGCUCCGCGUCUACAAAUCCUGUCGGGAGUACCA